UGCUGGUUAGCUCAGUUGGUUAGAGUGUGGUGCUGACAAUGCCAAUGUCAUGGGUUUGAUCCCUGCAUUGAUGCAU